rnacentral:lncRNA from 1 species
CAUUUGGGUUUUAGCGCAUGAAGACUUGUAAUGUGUGAGAGGAUUAGAGUCCUUCUCAUGGAAGGAUCUAAUCCUAAUUUUUGACACCAACUAACCUCUUUUCUUUAUCUUAUUGCAUGCCAUUUUUUGAAAGAUUUUAAUGGGAUUAAAAUACCUAAAUGGCAUGGAGAUAAAGUGGAUAAGGUUUGGUGCAUGGUUCUUGGCACACGGCAUUU